UUUGGAUCAAACUAAAAUUUUUUUGGGGAGAUAUGGAAAAGGCAGUUUUGAGAGUGUUUAUUGCAUAAAACGGCAAAUUUGCCUACAAAUGCCAUAUGUUGAUAAGUUUUCACAAUGAUGUUUUACUCUAUGGUGACGCAACUGAGUAAAAUCAACAAAAGAAUAAACGUUAAGGAUUACGAUGACGACAUCUUUUCUAUGACUGUUGUGUAUUAUAUAAAUCCUCGCUCAACAAUUGGUAAACAAAACUCAGAAAACGCUGAAAUACAGUUUGCAGACUAUGGAGAAGAUGAAUAUCAUGAUGUUGUUGUGGGUGCUCCCAAAAAAAGCUUGUUGAUAUUACACACACAAAUAUAUGGUUUUUUUAUAUAUAUUUAAUCUAGAUUAUGCUUUUAGUUCAAAAUCAAUUUAGGAAAUGUUGACAGUCUAUAUUAUAAAAAAAUCUACUUAUAUUACCAGCAGGCACACAACGUUGUAUUAACGUUUUAUUUACGUUAGAUUUUAUGUUAGUAUAACGUUGCCGGUUCGGCUAAAUGGAAAGGUUUUGUAACGUAAAAUUCUUACGUUGGAUUUACGUUAGCUAUUAGCGUUAUAUUUACCUAAAAUUCUAAAGUUAGAUUAACGUUAUAUUAAGGUAAA